rnacentral:rRNA from 1 species
AACGAACGCUGGCGGCAGGCCUAACACAUGCAAGUCGAGCGAGGACUUCGGUUCUAGCGGCGGACGGGUGAGUAACGCGUGGGAAUGUGCCCUUCUCUACGGAAUAGCCCUGGGAAACUGGGAGUAAUACCGUAUACGCCCUAUUGGGGAAAGAUUUAUCGAAGAAGGAUCAGCCCGCGUUGGAUUAGGUAGUUGGUGGGGUAAUGGCCUACCAAGCCGACGAUCCAUAGCUGGUUUGAGAGGAUGAUCAGCCACACUGGGACUGAGACACGGCCCAGACUCCUACGGGAGGCAGCAGUGGGGAAUCUUAGACAAUGGGGGCAACCCUGAUCUAGCCAUGCCGCGUGAGUGAUGAAGGCCUUAGGGUUGUAAAGCUCUUUCAGCUGGGAAGAUAAUGACGGUACCAGCAGAAGAAGCCCCGGCUAACUCCGUG